rnacentral:lncRNA from 1 species
AAACGAGUGUCAGAGUGCGUAACACGUGUCAACUUCCGAACUAAUAUAGGAACUUCCUCCACCAAACACAAAUGAAUUCAUUAGGAAUUCUCACUUAUGUUUUCAUUUUACGAAUUUUUACUUAUGUUUUCAAGUGUGUAUCUGAAUAGGAACUUCCUCUCUCUUUCUUAAUUUUUUCUAAACUUCGUGUUCGGUGGCUGACGGCAGCUUUGCUGUCGGUCACCACUAACUCUUGUUUUCGUUGUACAUAAUAGAUCUACGAAUCGAUCUUUUGUUAUGGUAAUAAAACUUCGAUCAUUUAAUCAGUUUUGGUUUCAGAUAGCUGAAUCUCUCUUCAAGUUUGCCAAUUUUGCUUUCGUUUUGGCGAGUUUUUUGUCUCAGUCUCAUCGAGAACUGCUUCAAGUUUAUUUCUUUUAUCUUGAUGAGAUUAAAUUCUGCGCCUUUCACUCAGUCUUAAUUAAAUAAUGUAGGUGAUUUGAGUAGGCUCCUUCGUUUACUGUUCACUUUCAUCCCUCUCAAAGAGAAUCAGUCUUCUUUGUCAGUAAGCCGGUUAUGGCAUUGAGGAUAGCAUCUCUGAUUGGGAGUUGAUGAGGUUUGAUGGAUUGUUUUAGCCAUUUGUGAAGUCGAUUAAGAAGAGUUGGCGUUCUACGGUCCAACAAAUAGUCGGUCUUCCGUUUGGUUUAUGUGUCCUUUUCUUUGGAAUUUCGGUGAAUUAAGGUAAUACUAAUCAAGUAACCGAGGCUUAGUUAUAAGGCAUCAUGGUAUAAGCGAUUAGAACAGCGACAUAGAAGAAGAAGAGACUUUGAGGUGGGUUUGCUAGAAUCACGGUGAAGAAGUCAUCUCGACGU